rnacentral:rRNA from 1 species
AUUGAACGCUGGCGGCAUGCCUUACACAUGCAAGUCGAACGGCAGCACGGGUGCUUGCACCUGGUGGCGAGUGGCGAACGGGUGAGUAAUACAUCGGAACGUACCUUAUCGUGGGGGAUAACGCAGCGAAAGCUGUGCUAAUACCGCAUACGCCCUGAGGGGGAAAGCGGGGGAUCGCAAGACCUCGCGCGAUUAGAGCUGCCGAUGCCUGAUUAGCUUGUUGGUGGGGUAAAAGCCCACCAAGGCGACGAUCAGUAGCUGGUCUGAGAGGACGAUCAGCCACACUGGGACUGAGACACGGCCCAGACUCCUACGGGAGGCAGCAGUGGGGAAUUUUGGACAAUGGGGGCAACCCUGAUCCUGCAAUGCCGCGUGAGUGAAGAAGGCCUUCGGGUUGUAAAGCUCUUUUGUCAGGGAAGAAGCACCGGCUCUAACACAGUCUGGGAAUGACGGUACCUGAAGAAUAAGCACCGGCUAACUACGUGCCAGCAGCCGCGGUAA